rnacentral:lncRNA from 1 species
GGGCAGGAGAGUUCUCCAGCCUGUUUACAGAGCAUCGUCUUUGUCUGCACUGUGCAUAUUUCACAUUUUCUCAGAGGUAACGGGCUAUCUGCCAGUGAUCUUGCUCAGCUCCUGAGCUGCCCUGUUUCUUCAGGAAUCUUGGGACCCGACCUGCAAGCUUACCAGAUGAAGUCUUCCCAGUUUCCUUUUACUUUGAUGCACUGGGCUUGGGUCCGAGCACAGGGCACACAUGAGGAGGGCCCUUCGACUACUAACUGCUGCAGAGGGAUCUCCUGAACCCAGCACAUGGCUUUCUUACUGCACAUCAGAAAAGAGGAGAGUGGUUUCCAAAACAAACAAACAAACAAAAAAAUGAACGAACCAACCAACCAACAAACAAAACAAGCAAACACCACACUUCCUCUGGGACAUCACAUGCUAAGACUGACCUCAGCAAAGUUAGGCACCUAUUCCAGCAGCUAGUAGGCUUCAUUUAUUGAGGGAGUUUCAAGCUCAAUGAAAGCCAAGGACUGAGCCCUCUAGUGAACACAGAGUUCCCCAGCCCCCUGUCCCAAGUUAAGCUUCCAGUGCACUGCGCUUUGCAGACAGGAGAUAGCUGAGUAUCUUCCAGGUGUUUCACCUGCAAAGGUACAGACAGCGAGUGAAUUGAAUGUCUUCUGGGUGUACCACUUGUAGAGGUGCCUUUUUCAAUUCUCGUAAACUUUCUACUUCUAAAGCACCUCUUCUGUAGUUUUGUGAAGAAUGUGAUAUAAAGUUAGUAAAAGUGACUUUGGAAAAAGAAUUCACACAAGCACAAGUAAACAGGUGUCCUGGAAAGCUUGAAUUUCAGAAGGAAGCAGAGGCUUUGCCAGCAGCUACUUGGUUGUCCUGCGUACGGUGAUCUGCUGGAAAGCUCCAGAGGAGAGCUGGACUCACAAGGGAUCUGGGAAAGACAUGGAG